ACGCUGGCGGAAUGCUUUACUUCUGAAAGUCGAACGGCAGCACGGGGGCAACCCUGGUGGCGAGUGGCGAACGGGUGAGUAAUACAUCGGAACGUGUUCAGUCGUGGGGGAUAACGUAGCGAAAGUUACGCUAAUACCGCAUACGAUCUACGGAUGAAAGCGGGGGAUCGCAAGACCUCGCGCGAUUGGAGCGGCCGAUGUCAAAUUAGGUUGUUGGUGGGGUAAAGGCCUACCAAGCCGACAAUCUGUAGCUGGUCUGAGAGGACGACCAGCCACACUGGGACUGAGACACGGCCCAAACUCCUACGGGAGGCAGCAGUGGGGAAUUUUGGAUUUUGGGCGCAAGCCUGAUCCAGCCAUUCCGCGUGCAGGACGAAGGCCUUCGGGUUGUAAACUGCUUUUGUACGGAACGAAAAAGCCUUGGUUAAUACCCGGGGUCCAUGACGGUACCGUAAGAAUAAGCACCGGCUAACUACGUG
rnacentral:rRNA from 1 species